rnacentral:rRNA from 1 species
UACAGAGGUCUCAAGCGUUGUUCGGAUUCAUUGGGCGUAAAGGGUGCGUAGGCGGCGCGGUAAGUCGGGUGUGAAAUCUUGGAGCUUAACUCCGAAACUGCAUUGGAUACUAUCUGGCUAGAGGGUCGGAGGGGAGACUGGAAUUCUCGGUGUAGCAGUGAAAUGCGUAGAUAUCGAGAGGAACACCAGUGGCGAAGGCGAGUCUCUGGACGACUCCUGACACUGAGGCACGAAAGCUAGGGGAGCAAACAGG